UGGAGGAAAGCAGGGGAUCGUAAGACCUUGCGCUUUUGGAGUGGCCGAUGCCUGAUUAGCUAGUUGGUGGGGUAAGAGCCUACCAAGGCGACGAUCAGUAGUUGGUCUGAGAGGACGACCAGCCACACUGGGACUGAGACACGGCCCAGACUCCUACGGGAGGCAGCAGUGGGGAAUUUUGGACAAUGGGCGGAAGCCUGAUCCAGCAAUACCGCGUGAGUGAAGAAGGCCUUCGGGUUGUAAAGCUCUUUCAGUCGAGAAGAAAAGGUUGUGACUAAUAAUCGCAACUUAUGACGGUAUCGACAGAAGAAGCACCGGCUAACUACGUGCCAGCAGCCGCGGUAAUACGUAGGGUGCGAGCGUUAAUCGGAAUUACUGGGCGUAAAGGGUGCGCAGGCGGCUCUGUAAGUCAGAUGUGA
rnacentral:rRNA from 1 species